UAUUCAUCGCAACAGAUUUGGGUAUGAUGUGGUGAUCUGAUAUCAGUUUGGUUACAGUCUUAGGUCUUUUGUAGUACAAUAUAAAGGAAAUAUUUUCACCACAUAAUCCAAUUAUGUGCUUUGGCAAACAUUACUGCCUUGGAAAACAUUACUUUUUUAUAACUACUAAUUAUGAUGAUGCCAGCCCAACAACACUUGGUCAUGCUAUUGGCAAAUAGUUUCAUGUUCUAGAUUGUGAAAACAAUCAAUUUCUAAACAAAUGAGUAGUGAUUAUUUCAAAUUUGAAUAGCAUGACCAAAUUGUGAGGCUGGUUAUGCCACUAAUAACUAAAGUCAAUGGUGUAAUGAUUAUCUAAGAAUGUAUGUAGUAAUUGUAGAAAUAAAGACAUUUUGCUAAUCAUGAUUUGAG